rnacentral:lncRNA from 1 species
UGAUAUUUCUUUCUAAUUAAAAGAAUGUUUUACCAUAUUCAUUCAUUCUUUCUGUGAAAUUUAUUUUCAGGCAUAUCCUAUUUACCGAAAUUCAUCAUGGCAGGUCAUCACUGGAUAUCAGUUGCCUGUAUAUAAUUAUCAGAUUCCACUACAUUGGCCUGUUGGGGAGCAAAGGAGUUACGUUGUACCUCUGGCAUAUUCUACUUAUCCAGAUUCACCAGUUCAGGUCAUCACUGGACAUCAGUUGCCUGUAUAUAAUUUUCAGAUGCCACCACAGUGGCCUGUUGGAGGUCAAAGGAGGCGUAUCCUACUUAUCCAAGUUCACCAGGUCAGGUCAUCACUGGAUACCAGUUGCCUGUAUAUAAUCACCAGAAAUCUGUGGACCAAAGCAUACAAACGGUGGUAUCUUGUCUGUUUAAUCAGGAGAACAGACUGAUAAAUUCUGUUGUUACUCAAGAUGACUACUUCAAGGUAUGAAGGGAAUGCUAUGCAUAAUUUAAAAGCACUUGUUAGCUUUAAACUGUUUUCCUGUGCUGUAUAUAUUUUGAGAUUUCUUAGAGCAUUUAGUUGAACUGUUGGCAUUUGACUGUAACCCAGUAAACCAGAGUGGGUUUUACCUGGAGUGUAUUUUCUGCUGCCGAACCUUGUGACAUUUAGGGAAGAAUCUUGCAGCAGAAAUUUGUAGCUGCAAGGGUUUACUAGAGAAGAGAGUUAAUUGACUGCCUUGACCAAAUAGUAAAAGAAAAUUUUAGAUGCAGAAAGCAGAUCUCGUCCACAUGCAGCCUGUAAUCCCAGCACUUUCGGGGGCUGAGGUGGGUGGAUUGCUUGAGCUCAGGAGUUCAAGACCACCCUGGGUAACAUGGCAAAACCCC